rnacentral:rRNA from 1 species
UACGAAGGGGGCUAGCGUUGCUCGGAAUUACUGGGCGCAAAGCGCACGUAGGCGGAUUGUUAAGUCGGGGGUGAAAUCCUGGAGCUCAACUCCAGAACUGCCUUCGAAACUGGCGAUCUUGAGUCCGGGAGAGGUGAGUGGAACUGCGAGUGUAGAGGUGAAAUUCGUAGAUAUUAGGAAGAACACCGGUGGCGAAGGCGGCCCACUGGUCCGGUACUGACGCUGAGGUGCGAAAGCGUGGGGAGCAAACAGG